GAUAUGGCGAUGUUGAAAUAAAUUCAAGAAAAUUCAAGAAAAUUUGUUUUAGUUUUCCUGCAGAUUUAUUGUUGUGUGGUGUUAAAAUAAAACCGAGGGGCUCUAGUGGUCACUGCACUUGAACAACCAUGCAAUCCAUGUCGAAGCCAGAAAUGUUUUAAGAAAAAGUCUCGCGCCACACUCCCGAAGAAGGCCGCUUCAGAAGCACAAACACAAGUGUUAAGGAUAAGUGGACUCUGAACGUGUCCUUACGCCACGAAGGAUACCGAAGGAGUGAAGGCGUCUAGCUAAGACAUGGGUUUAAGGCGCUCCUUUGGGGAAAGACGGCGCCGUUGCAGGAGGCCUGCCGACGACUGACACAAGACGUCGCAGGGGAACGACGCGCGCCGACGUCUGCCAUCCCCACCCCCCAGAUUCGCCACGCCCCCGGAGGGGAAGCCCUAAUUAAGUCGUAUUUUUAAGUAGCUACUAAGAUUUUUAAAGAACGACUCUCGGUUUCAUUGUUUAUUAACGCUGUUCGCACCCGGAAAACGACCCGCGCCUGAAACUGUUCCGGGCAGCGCUACGGCGCGAUUUGCGCUCAUCCUCAGACUUACGCAAAAAUUAGCGACAAAUCACGUGCAAUUUAAAUAAGAAAUAAAUAUGUCAUCGAGUCAUACUUCAGCGUAUUUUAGCUUGAUGGUGGCAUUACUUUCUAUGUGUUUCAUUGUUUUUAUAUCGGGAUUCUCUCUACAAUAAGCACAAAAAACUCGAUGCGAUAGAAAACUGAAGUAUGGUUCGAUAACUUUAAAUCAGGCUUUUAGUAGUUUUGUAUUGAAAGAGGGAUGGUUUUGUCUGAAUCGAUGGAAUAGCUAUUGGAAAAAUAUUAUUCUAGGAUUUGAGAUUGCACACUGAAUGAUAAAUGGAAAAGAAUUGUGGUUAAACUCGUGCUCGGGGAUCGACGGACACUUCACCAACAAGAAUCCCUUUUUUUAACGUUACUUCACGUUAGCAAGAGCUAUUUAAAUAUUGUGUAUUAAGUUGUUUAUUAAUUGUUUAAACAGUCUUUUCACAUUCACUUUUUUAAUAAUGUCCAUCGUGAAAAAUUCCCAAAAAAAAUUAAACCCCGAACACGAAUUUUAAUUUGUUUACUCACAAUUUUAUUCCUGUUCACUUGAUGAUUUUUAU